AACGACUCUCGGCAACGGAUAUCUCGGCUCUCGCAUCGAUGAAGAACGUAGCGAAAUGCGAUACUUGGUGUGAAUUGCAGAAUCCCGUGAACCAUCGAGUCUUUGAACGCAAGUUGCGCCCGAAGCCAUUAGGUUGAGGGCACGUCUGCCUGGGCGUCACGCA
rnacentral:rRNA from 82 species